rnacentral:rRNA from 1 species
AGUUUGAUCCUGGCUCAGGAUGAACGCUGGCGGCGUGCCUAAUACAUGCAAGUCGAACGAAUCUCUUUUAGAGAUGAGUGGCGAACGGGUGAGUAAUACAUAGGUAACCUGCCCCUGUGCGGGGGAUAACAGGAGGAAACUCCUGCUAAUACCGCAUAGCCAUGAGCACCGCAUGGAGCUCAUGCCAAAUAUCCUUUAUGGGAUAGCGCAGGGAUGGACCUAUGGCGCAUUAGCUGGUUGGCGGGGCAACGGCCCACCAAGGCAACGAUGCGUAGCCGGCCUGAGAGGGCGGACGGCCACAUUGGGACUGAGACACGGCCCAGACUCCUACGGGAGGCAGCAGUAGGGAAUUUUCGGCAAUGGGGGAAACCCUGACCGAGCAACGCCGCGUGAGCGAAGAAGGCCUUCGGGUCGUAAAGCUCUGUUGUAAAGGAAGAACGGCGCAUACAGGAAAUGGUAUGCGAGUGACGGUACUUUACCAGAAAGCCACGGCUAACUACGUGCCAGCAGCCGCGGUAAUACGUAGGUGGCGAGCGUUAUCCGGAAUCAUUGGGCGUAAAGAGGGAGCAGGCGGCCGCAAGGGUCUGUGGUGAAAGACCGAAGCUAAACUUCGGUAAGCCAUGGAAACCGGGCGGCUAGAGUGCGGAAGAGGAUCGUGGAAUUCCAUGUGUAGCGGUGAAAUGCGUAGAUAUAUGGAGGAACACCAGUGGCGAAGGCGACGGUCUGGGCCGCAACUGACGCUCAUUCCCGAAAGCGUGGGGAGCAAAUAGGAUUAGAUACCCUAGUAGUCCACGCCGUAAACGAUGGUCACUAAGUGUCGGGGGUCAAACCCCGGUGCUGCAGUCAACGCAAUAAGUGACCCGCCUGAGUAGUACGUUCGCAAGAAUGAAACUCAAAGGAAUUGACGGAAGG